UAUCACAACAGCUUUCUGGGCUCCCCUUGGCACACACAGAUGGGGACUCUUCUGCGCACCCUGAAAAGAUUCCUUUUGGGAACUCCCUGGUAGCUCAGUGGGUUGAGCAUCUGGUGUUGACACUGCUGUGGAGCAGGUUCCAUCCUGGCCUGAAACUUCUGUAUGCCGUGGGCACAGCCAAAAAAAAAAAAAGUUUCCUUUCUUCCUUUCCUUCUUCUUCUUCUUCUUUUUUUUUUUUUUUUUUUUUUUUUUUGAGAUACUAUUAGAGGUACAUAAAAAACAAAAAAAAUUCACCUUCUGUAGGAGCUAGAGCAUGCAUGAGUCAUUUAAAAUGGUUCCAAGCAUAUAACUUAACAAAACAGGGCAGCCACUUACCUCACAGCUAUGUGGGUCCGGACAAGCCAUUGCACCUCUCUGAGUCCAUGUGCUGGUGGACGAAGUGGAAGAAGAAUAGCAACAGGGCAGAGGCAUGGCUUGGCACUGUGAGCAGUACCUAGGCCGGUACUGGGUCCAAGUCGGGCUUCCUAGAUGCGCCCGGGCCGUCUUUAUGGGCCACCUCGGCCGUCGUCAUUACUCUUCGCUAUCUGAUCUCUGAACCAUGGAUGUGGGGCUGACCAUGAUUUUUAUGGAGAAUCUGCUAGAUUCUGGGCAAAGUGUGUGAAAAUGACAACAUGAGGCCAUCAAAUGACUUGACGAGGUCACAAAACUUGUCAAAAGCUGAGCUGGACUUAAAAGAUGGAAUUUCAGGCGUUCCCUGGUGGCCCCGUGGGUUAAGCCUUCGGUGUUGUCAGUGUGGGGGCUCGGGUUCAAUCCCUGGCUCAGGAGCUUCCACGCGCCACGGAUAUGGCCGAAAAAACAAAAAUCACGGAAUUUCUUUUUCUUUCUUUCUUUGUUUUUAAAAAUCCUACCUUCCACCCCCACCAAGUGUGUCAAUGAGUUCAGACGACUUUUUUUUUUUUUUUUUUUUGCUUUUUAGGGCUGCACUUGCAGAAGUCCCCAGGCUAGGAGCAGGCCUACACCACAGCCACAGCCAUGCUGGAUCCAUGCGAGGCCAGGGAUCGAACCCGCAACCUCAGGGUUCCUAGUCGGAUUCGUUAACCACUGCGCCACGAUGGGAGCUCCAACAUAGGGUCUUUUAUACUCAGAUUUGUCACAUGAAGAAUUAUUGUAAGGUCUUUUCUCCCCCAAGGUCCCCCUCCCGCGCUCCUCUGUUGGGAGGAUAAUUCAGAAGUUCUGGGGACGGCCACCCACCAGGAUCAGACGGGCCAUGUCUAACUCUGGCCAGGUAAGAGUUAGUUAGGGUUUACACACUUAACCUCAGCUCAUGCCUCCUGGUCCACACUUUACUGUCAUGCACAUUCGCCCUCUCUCUGAGGGUCUGCAGGGAACGUUAGCCCUUUGGGCUACUAAAUAUCUCCAGGGAAAAGUGGGACACGCUUGCUCAGAGGAGCCUGAGGGGUCUCUGUGGGCUUUUCCCGCAGGGGAUGGAGCAAGCUGGAUCCAUUCGGCCUCCUGUGUCAUGAGCCAAGGACUGUAACUGAACCACCGUUCACUUAGAUUCACCGGAGCUUCCCAUUUAAAAGCUGUUUUAGGAGUUCCUGUCAUGGCGCAGUGGAAACAAAUCCGACUAGGAACCAUGAGGUUGCGGGUUUGAUCCCUGGCCUCGCUCAGUGGGUUAAGGAUCUGGUGUUGCUGUGAGCUGUGGUGUAGGUUGCAGAUGCAGCUCAGGUCCUACGUGGCUCUGGCUGUGGUGUAGGCUGGAAGCUGUAGCUCUGAUUGGACUCCCAGCCUGGGAACCUCCAUAUGUCUUGGGUGCAGCCUCAAAAAGCAAAAAAUAAAUUAAAAAUAAAUAAAAAUUAAAAAAAUAAAAGCUGUUUUAAAGAGAGGAAGCAGCAGGAGGCACACGAGGCUGAUGAGAACGGGGUGGAAGGCUGAUCUAAGAGGCAGCCCCCUGAGACCCAUGCAGGUCUCGUGACUCAGCAGACACAUGUUGAGUGUCUGGUGUGGCCUGCUCUCCCCACGCCCAUCCCAGCCCAAGGACAGAGGACGAGCUGCCCGGCCCUGGUCACGCCUGCCCAGUGCUGCCUACACAGCCUCUCUUUCAGCAUCACAAGGACCCAGAGGUUGACUGGGGCAGGGGAGGAGCCAGGAGGGAUGGGGGAGGCUGGGCCACCAGUAAACGUUGCCAAGACUGUGGAGAAACAGACAAAACAAGCAGGAGGAAUCUGCAGAUCGCGCCUUCUCAGGGGGCCAAGAGCCCAGCUGGACCAAGAGAUGCCAGGGUCUCCCUGACGCCCCGUGAGGGAGUGAGGAGCCAGCUGGCUCUCGGUUGCCUUGGCAACACAGCCGCUCAGGUUCAGGGAAUUAUAAUGAAAAAGCCACAUGCAAAUGAGGGAAAUUGCAAUUAGGAGGAACGGUGCACGGUCUGUCCUUGCGGGUGGCGUCCGGGAGGGAUUUGUGCCGCAGACAAAGAAGGAAAACGGAGAAAGGAAGAGCGGGCGUCGUGAGCUGAGCACGGGGUCUGGGUGCACCUGCAGUCCUGCUGGAACCCCCCCACCUCUGUGCAGUGGUCGGAUGGACGGUGCACGUCGCAGGGUGGGGCCCUGGGGGUGUCACUGCUCCACAGACCAGAGGCAGCGAGGGCAGCAACCCAGCAACUAGAAUUCACUCCUCCUACAUAAGGAAACAGACGCUCAAAAAGAUGGAGCGACCUGCCCAAGCUCUACGAGGUGGGAGCAGAUUGGAACUCUAGGUCUCCCCGAGAUCAGUUCAAGAGUGCCUUUCUAGGAGCUCCCGUUGUGGCUUGGUGGGUUACAAGCCCAACCAGCAUCCAUGAGGAUGCGGGUUCGAUCCCUGGCCUCCAUUAGUGGAUUAGGGAUCCGGCGUUGCUGUGAGCUGUGGUGUAGGUCACAGAUGCAGCUUGAUCUGGCGUUGCUGUGGCCGUGGUGUAGGCUGGCAGCUCUAGCUCCAGUUCAACCCCAAGCCUGGGAACUUCCAUAUGCUGAGGGUGCAGCCCUGCAGAGCAAAAAAAGAGUGGGUUUCUAGAACAGACAGCCACCUAUUCCUGAAAACCCCGUGGGGUUAAGCCACAUCGUCCCUCACCAAAAUUCUUCUCCAAACACCAACCUCCCAUCGUCUGGCACUUAGGAGCCGCAACCCACCUUCUCAGUCCAAACCGAAACCCACCAGGGCGGCCUGCCCACCUGCCCAGGGCUUGUUUCUGCCUCAAACAGGAACCACGGACCUCGAGGAAAGCCUCUGACCCUGGAGGCCAAAGUACACAGAGAUUUCAGGGAAUGGGCAAGAACGGAAAACAACAGCAAGAAAGAACCACAAAAACCUCUAACUGGACUCCUUGGAGGGGGUUGGAGAAGAGACUGCGUUCAGACAACGAGAACAGAAAACCCCGAGAAAGCAACGCCGUAGAGACGAUCUGUCCGCUGCUGACCAGGGCAAGACAGAGAAGAGGAAGCGGGUUGCUGGAAAGACGGAGGCAGGAGAGGAGGAGGAGGAGGAGGAAGGCUGGGCGGACGCUGUGCCCGGCAGAGGAAGGCACCACCAGCCAGGGUUUCCGGGCCCUGCCACCAGGUCCUGGGCCACCUGGCGGCUAGUGGGACCAGACCUGCAUCACCUACCCCACCCCUCGCCCUGCAAGCACUAAAUCUGUCCUCUUCCCCAAGGGGCAAGGGGCAAGCUGUCUCCUUUUCCUCUGGUCAACCCCACCUUGAAAGUGAUGCUUUAUCCUCCAGAACAGGCCAUGGAGAAAGAAAAGCAUUGUAUUCGGGUCCGCAGCCUGCCUUCCCUUCCACGGCGGGCAGGGGGGCAGGGGGGCAGGGGGUGGGGUGGGCAAGGGCGCCAGUGUUUAUUUUCCUAACUGAUAGCCUGGGACGAGGACCGAACUUCAAAGCCCCCAAGCAAGAAUGCGGGUCUAUUGUUUUGUCUCAAGAAGCAACCUUCGCGCGUGUAGUUCAGGGUCAAGCCUGGGAAAUAUUAGUCAUGGAAACUCAGACGAGACGAGACCAGGGACUUUGCUGAUAAAGGCCUCAGCCCGGAGAAGCAGCCGGCUGAUCACGGCUUCCCAGGAGGGAGGCCCCUGCCUCCCGCUGAGUCAGGCUACCCUGCAGACACGCAGAUGGUAGGAGCAGCCUGGGCCUGUGUGUACCAGGUCACCAGCUCAAGGAUGGAGAGUGGAAGAUCCCAUGACACACACAGCUGAUGGUGAAACUGAGGCACAGAGAGGUUGCGGAGUGGCCCUGGGGUCACACAGCUGGAGCAGCAGCCCUGGCGUGUGCCGGGGGUGGGGCAAGGCCAGGCUCUGCCCCUUCAUGCCUAUGCUCUAAGGGAUAAAACUGAUAAUUACUAUGUUUUGCUUUUUAGGGACACACCAGCAGCAUAUGGAGGUUCCCAGGCUAGGGUUCGAAUUGGAGCUGUAGCUGCCGGCCCACGCCACAGCCACAGCAACCCGGGAUCCAAGUCAUGUCUGUGACCUACACCACAGCUCCUGGCAAAGCCAAUCCUUAACCCACUGAGCGGGGCCAGGGAUCGAACCUGUGUCCUCGUGGAUACUAGUCAGGGUUUGUUUCCCCUGAGCCGCGAGGGGAACUCCCUGAUAAUUACUUUUAAAAAGGUAUGUUCUCAGGGAGUUUGGAUUGUGACUCAGCAGUUUACAAACCCAACUAUUAUGCAUGAGGAUCCGGGUUCGAUCCCUGGCCCCGUUUAGUGGGUUAAGGAUCCAGCAUUGCCAUGAGCUGUGGUGUAGGUGGCAGACUUGGCUCGGAUCCUGCAUUGCUGUGGCUGUGGUGUAGGCCAUCAGCUGCAGCUCCAGUUUGACCCCUAGCCUGGGAACUUCCAUAUGCCAUGGGUGCAGCCCUAAAAAAAAAAAAAAAAAAAAA
rnacentral:lncRNA from 1 species